AUGCCAUCAACUAACAGAGCAGGCAGCCUGAAGGACCCUGAAAUUGCAGAGCUCUUCUUCAAAGAAGAUCCAGAGAAGCUCUUCACAGACCUCAGAGAAAUUGGCCAUGGAAGCUUUGGAGCAGUGUAUUUUGCACGAGAUGUGCGUACCAAUGAAGUGGUGGCUAUCAAAAAAAUGUCUUAUAGUGGAAAGCAGUCUACUGAGAAAUGGCAGGAUAUUAUUAAAGAAGUCAAGUUUCUACAAAGAAUAAAACAUCCCAACAGUAUAGAAUAUAAAGGCUGCUAUUUACGUGAGCACACAGCAUGGCUUGUAAUGGAAUAUUGUUUAGGAUCUGCUUCAGAUUUACUGGAAGUUCACAAAAAGCCAUUACAAGAAGUGGAAAUAGCAGCAAUUACACAUGGUGCUCUCCAGGGAUUAGCCUACUUGCAUUCACAUACUAUGAUCCAUAGAGAUAUCAAAGCAGGAAAUAUUCUUCUGACAGAACCAGGCCAGGUGAAACUUGCUGACUUUGGAUCUGCUUCCAUGGCAUCUCCUGCCAAUUCUUUUGUGGGAACGCCAUAUUGGAUGGCCCCAGAAGUAAUUUUAGCCAUGGAUGAAGGACAGUAUGAUGGCAAAGUAGAUGUAUGGUCUCUUGGAAUAACAUGUAUUGAACUAGCGGAAAGAAAGCCUCCUUUAUUUAAUAUGAAUGCAAUGAGUGCCUUAUAUCACAUAGCCCAAAAUGAAUCCCCUACACUACAGUCUAAUGAAUGGUCUGAUUAUUUUCGCAACUUUGUAGAUUCUUGCCUCCAGAAAAUCCCUCAAGAUCGCCCUACAUCAGAGGAACUUUUAAAGCACAUGUUUGUUCUUCGGGAGCGCCCUGAAACAGUGUUAAUAGAUCUCAUUCAAAGGACAAAGGAUGCAGUAAGAGAGCUGGACAAUCUGCAAUAUAGAAAAAUGAAGAAACUCCUUUUCCAGGAGGCACAUAAUGGACCAGCAGUAGAAGCACAGGAAGAAGAAGAGGAACAAGAUCAUGGUGUUGGACGGACAGGAACAGUGAAUAGUGUUGGAAGUAAUCAGUCGAUUCCCAGUAUGUCCAUUAGUGCCAGUAGCCAAAGCAGUAGUGUUAACAGUCUUCCAGAUGCCUCGGAUGACAAGAGUGAGCUAGACAUGAUGGAGGGAGAUCAUACAGUGAUGUCUAAUAGUUCUGUCAUCCACUUAAAACCUGAGGAAGAAAAUUAUAGAGAAGAGGGAGAUCCUAGAACAAGAGCAUCAGAUCCACAAUCUCCACCCCAAGUAUCUCGUCAUAAAUCACACUAUCGUAAUCGAGAACACUUUGCUACUAUACGGACAGCAUCACUGGUUACAAGGCAAAUGCAAGAACAUGAGCAGGACUCUGAACUUAGAGAACAAAUGUCUGGCUAUAAGAGAAUGAGGCGACAACAUCAAAAGCAGCUGAUGACUCUAGAAAAUAAGCUAAAGGCUGAGAUGGAUGAACAUCGCCUCAGAUUAGAUAAAGAUCUUGAAACUCAACGUAACAAUUUUGCUGCAGAAAUGGAGAAACUUAUCAAGAAACAUCAGGCUGCUAUGGAAAAAGAGGCUAAAGUGAUGGCCAAUGAGGAGAAAAAAUUCCAGCAACAUAUUCAGGCCCAACAGAAGAAAGAACUGAAUAGCUUUUUGGAGUCCCAGAAGAGAGAAUACAAACUUCGAAAAGAACAGCUUAAGGAGGAGCUAAAUGAAAACCAGAGCACUCCAAAAAAAGAAAAACAGGAGUGGCUUUCAAAGCAGAAGGAGAAUAUACAGCAUUUCCAAGCAGAAGAAGAGGCUAAUCUUCUUCGACGUCAGAGACAAUACCUAGAGCUGGAGUGCCGCCGCUUCAAGAGAAGAAUGUUACUUGGACGCCAUAACUUAGAGCAGGACCUUGUCAGGGAGGAAUUAAAUAAAAGGCAGACCCAAAAGGACUUAGAGCAUGCCAUGCUACUGCGACAACAUGAAUCCAUGCAAGAACUGGAGUUUCGUCACCUCAACACAAUUCAGAAGAUGCGCUGUGAGUUGAUCAGAUUACAGCAUCAAACUGAGCUCACUAACCAGCUGGAAUAUAAUAAGCGAAGAGAACGGGAACUAAGGCGAAAGCAUGUCAUGGAGGUUCGACAGCAGCCUAAGAGCCUGAAGUCUAAAGAACUCCAAAUAAAAAAGCAGUUUCAGGACACCUGCAAAAUCCAAACCAGACAGUACAAAGCAUUAAGAAAUCACCUACUGGAGACUACACCAAAGAGUGAGCACAAAGCUGUUCUGAAACGGCUCAAGGAGGAGCAGACCCGGAAGUUAGCCAUCUUGGCUGAGCAGUAUGACCACAGCAUUAAUGAAAUGCUAUCCACACAAGCCCUGCGUUUGGAUGAAGCACAGGAAGCAGAGUGCCAGGUUUUGAAGAUGCAGCUGCAGCAGGAACUGGAACUGUUGAAUGCAUAUCAGAGCAAAAUCAAGAUGCAAGCUGAGGCACAACAUGAUCGAGAGCUUCGGGAGCUUGAACAAAGGGUCUCCCUACGAAGGGCACUCUUAGAACAAAAGAUUGAAGAAGAGAUGUUGGCUUUACAGAAUGAACGCACAGAACGAAUACGAAGUCUGCUGGAGCGUCAAGCCAGAGAAAUCGAAGCUUUUGACUCUGAAAGUAUGAGACUGGGUUUUAGUAACAUGGUCCUUUCUAAUCUCUCCCCUGAGGCAUUCAGCCACAGCUACCCAGGAGCUUCUGGUUGGUCUCACAACCCUACUGGGGGUCCAGGACCUCACUGGGGUCAUCCCAUGGGUGGCCCACCACAAGCUUGGGGCCAUCCGAUGCAAGGUGGACCCCAGCCAUGGGGUCACCCCUCAGGGCCAAUGCAAGGGGUGCCCCGAGGUAGCAGUAUGGGGGUCCGCAACAGCCCUCAGGCUCUGAGGCGAACAGCUUCUGGGGGACGGACGGAGCAGGGCAUGAGCAGAAGCACGAGUGUCACCUCACAGAUCUCCAAUGGGUCACAUCUGUCUUAUACAUAGCUUAAUAGUUGAAAGUGGCAAUUCUGCUGGAGCUGUCUGCCAAAAGAAACUGCCUACAGACAUCGUCACAGCAGCCUCCUCACUUGGGUACUACAGUGUGGAAGCUGAAUGCAUAUGAAAUUUUGCUAAGGACCAAAACAGCCAAGAAAAGAAUUACUGCUGAAGCAUCUAAGGUUCUCCUAAACUAUAAAAUCAACAGGAAAUGGCCACUGGGAGAGAAGGAUAUGACAUUGGCAUGGGACUUUCUCCCUUUAGCUGCCUCUUCUUACUUGCUAAUAGUAAGUUCUUUGUGUACCUCCCACCCCUUCUGAGCCACUGUUCAAGCAGAGAUUUGGCUCAACAUAGCAACCCUUUCCUAGGAGGUUUAUGGUCUCUUAUUUUGUCCCAUGCUCACAAUGUGAAGUGUCUAGUAUGUAUUCAAGUCAGAAAAUAAUACAUUUAAGGUAUAUAAGUAUGAGUCUUCUAUAAUGAUGGAAGAAGAGGUUUUUGUUUCUUAGAUAGAAAACUGCCUUCUCUAAGGAACAAAGCCAAAACUUGGGCUGUCAUCUUUGAGCUGCUUAUCAAAAUACAGACUAUUAUUAAAGACAAACAAUUUCUCUAUUUUGUUUUCCCUCAUCUAACAUGAUAGAUAGUGCCCCAAGCAGGUUCUAGCAUUGCCUUUGAAAAGGCACUCACUCAGUUGUUAAAACUGGAAAAUUCCCAUCCUCAGAUUCCUAAAAGAAUGGAGAGUGUGCUGUACACUUAGCAGACUUGCCUCUUGUAUGCAAGGACUACUGAUUGAAGUCUAUUUUGCUGUGUGUCUGGUUAUGUUGUCUGCACUUUUAUGAAAUCACUACAGUAGACUACAUUGGAAAUGACUAUUAAUUUGUAAAGAAGUAAGUUUUAUUAAUAACUGUCUAGAAAAAGAAAGUGAAGCUGAGAACUCUUCCUUUAUUGUAUAUUUAUAUUUUCUACUGAACUCUGGGAGCCCUCUUGAAAGUCACAUUGACUAAUUUUUCCCUCGUUUAUAUUCAGACUUCCAAAAUUUCACUAAAACAAGGGAAGAGAGAAAGAACCCACUUGGCCUAAUGGUAGCCUUCAGAGCAUAAGAAAUACAUAAAUUAGUAUGCACCUUAUCUGCCUGUUGUGGGUUUUUUAAACUUGCACUUCCCACCUACCCCAAAAAAUAGAUGUUCUUUAAAGAAAAUAAAUGAAGAGAUUACAUCUGGGGAGCCAUUUACUAUGUCACCAUCACUGUUAACUGUUUCCCAGCAAUCCUAACUGAAGUUUCAGAGAUUUUGUGUGUGUGUGAAUGCAUCUGUGUUGGGUUUGUUUUGUUUAUAAAUAUCAAGAGAUUCUCCUUUAAGUAGAGAAAAAGGUUAAUACUCUCUGAAACCAGAUACCCAUUGGAUAUACUAAUCUGAACAUCUGUAGGUAGUUUGCCAUGAAAAAGUGGAGAGAAGACGAGACUUCUGAAUGAAUGAAAAGGGUAUUUUGAUGCCCAAGAAUUCCCCCCAAAGUACGGGUAAUUCAACCUGCACAGUUUCCUUUUCACUCAUAGUUUGUAGUAAUUGUGAGUAAAAAAUCAUGUAAUUAUCUGUAAAUAUGUAGCUAACAAAUUGACCUAGUUUCUGUAUUUUUUUGUUUUUGUACUAAAGUUUAUAAGUCUGUGCCAGCUAGAGAGAAGUUGCUGUGAUUGCCGAUUGUGGUCCUAGCAUCUAACCCUGAAACCAUCCUAGGUGGCAUUUUUAGAAUUAAUGCUUAAAUGUUGUUAAACAGGGGGAAAUGAAGCUUAAUCAUUGGUCAGGUUUAAAAUCUUUUGAAGUGAAGUCAUUUUAUUUAAUAUAAUGAUUACAUGUCCUCAAUCAUGAAUGAGGUAGGGAGCCUCCCUCCCCCAGUGGCCAUGUUUACAGAAGUGUGUAUUUGUCUAUAAAGUGAAGAGUUUUAAUGUUUUUGUAAAUUAUGCAGGUAACAUUAUGGCUUGGAACUGUUUAUUGGGCUCUUUAGCUGAAUUUUCAAAUGAAAUGAACUAUUCUUAUUGCUGGCACAUUGAUCCCAUUGCUGGAGCAUUUUUCCUCUUUCCAGAAUUACAUUUGUUCCUUUGUCAUUAUCCCCACUUAACCUUUCUCUGAUAUGCCUUGUAAUCCUAGCCCUAAGGUAUUUAAGUCUAGAGAACAUAGACAAGGGAAAUGCAUUUUUUAAAAUCCAUGAACCCUCAUUUGUAUGCUUUCAGUACUCAUAUGUUUCUAUGGCAACUCCAAGGUCAGUGGAGUUUAGAAAUGAGAUACGUGUGUACUCUUUGCUUUUGCAUGGCUUGGCUUAGCAUCAGAGGUAUAUUAGGGCCACUUGAAAGCAUGAAGACCAGUUGUAUGAGAACAGGUUUCUCUUAGUGGCACAUUUUGCUUUUUCUGAGCCCUCAAAUACAUUGCCUCAGCAUGAACAUUAUUGUUACUAUAAAUUGUACAUGGUCAUGGAGUGAAUUGUGUGAUUUAAAAAGAUGUAACUGCUUAAUGUUUGCAGAUUCUGGCUGAUCCAUGUGACUAUUUGAUAUCAAACAAAUGAAGAGAGGGGUAUUGGAACCCUUCUAACCCCCUUUUUUGUCAUAGGCAGGUAUAUUCAGUUUAAUAUGUUGGCUGCCCCUGGUGUGUUGCCAGACAGCUCUUUUUUGGUGCCCAUUCCACAUGUGCUCCCUUGCAUUUCAUAGUAUCACAGAAACUACCACCCCUUCUCCCCAGUAGCAUUUUGUGUUACACAUUUUAUUCCACAUUAAAUGGGAAUUGUGCCUACUUAAAGUGCCCCUGUAAUUAAUUACAUACACAUGCCCUAAAAUCCAAGCCAGAGUCACAAGGUGGAAAUUUUAAAAAAAAAAAAAAAAAAAAUAAAAGUCCACUUGAGGCCAGUAAUUUAUUUGACAAAGUAUUUUACCACAUUAUCGUGACACUUGAUAUAUGAGCCUAUUAGGAGUGGCAGGUGGUUUCAUAGAGCAAAAUCCAAGUGGAGAGGGAUAUGUAAGGUUUCUAUUAAGCGAUAAUUUUGUUCUUAUUUUACCUUCCCUUUUAUGAUCCUUCUCUUCGAGGUUAGAAAAAGUUAAUUCUCCAAAUUUAUUUUGUUUUUUAUCUUUUAGGGAAAUUUUUACAAAAUCGAUGGUCUGAUGUAAAUAACGUUUUAAAGUACAGUGCACAUAACUCCCCCAGACUAUUCCAACCUGAUAAUUUGUAAAUGCUUUAGAGUUUUUUAAAUUAACACUUGUGUUGCUAAAUCCUAUUUAUGUAAGUCUGCUAAAAUUUUUAACCCAUUUAAAACUUAUGACAUUUAAAUAAUGGAUGGGUUACUCUGAGCAAUUUAGCUUUCAGAACCCCCUUGUUUUAGUAUAUGAAAGAGAUCGCCUAAUGCGUAUUAAUGAGGUUGGAGAGACUAUGAGAAAUAUGUAUAGUGUAUAUUUUAAAACAGCUUUGCUUGUAUUGUGAAGAUUUAAAAACAAACUUGAGAUUUUUAACGUAACUAUUAACACAGUUUUAACAUAAGUUAUCCCACUGGGUUUAAGAGCAUCUUGAAUGUAUAAUCCUUUUUGUAACCCAGGUUGGUCUCUGCUUUUACCAGUCAUCCAAACAUAUUAUUUAUGUUUUUAAUUUUAUAUACUCAUUUCUCUUUGUUUUCCUCAACCAGCAUGAUUUUUUUGCACAUGUAUUGUAGAAAUUUUUAAGAAGAAAAAUUAAUACAUCAUUUUCUCUGGGUUUUCUUCACUUCUCUCUUCCUUUCUACUAACCCCUUACCUUAAAGGCCAUAUCGCUCCAUUUGCAUUGUUUGUGCAAAUGCCAGGGUUGGUUUUUAUUUUUAUUUUUGCUAUUUACCUAAAAAAAAAAAAGAAAAAGAAAAAUGCUUCAGUCAAUUGCUUUUUUAUUUAAAAAAUAAAAAAGAAAGAAAAAAAGCUGUAACCUUAUCAUUUCUGAGUAGACCAUUGAGAGAUGAAUGCACACCUGUAAUAGCCUAGGACCAGCUUUGGUGGCUAAAGGGAAUAUUUUAACUAAACAAGAGGUUCCUUUCUAAAAGUGGUAUAUAUUAUUUACAAUCUCUUUUAGUUAUUCCCACAAGUCAGGGGUCCAGAUAAAAUGAGGGUUAUCAGCAAACUGAUGUUAUCAUUGAGGUUCAUCAAUGAAUUUGUACAUUUCUAGUUCCCUUUGGUGAAGGGAAAAAUGAUGAUUUUGCAAGACCUAGAUUUUGGCUUGGUUUCUUGCCUCCUUUUUUGGCAGCCUACAUCUUCUCAUCUCCUAAAGCCCUUGAGCCUGUAGGGUUUUUGUAGUGGACGAAGGACUCGUGGUCUUCUAAAACUAGGACUGAUUUUUUUGUGUGUAAGAGAGAUUAUCAUCUUGAAAGUGAUGUUCUUCCACUUUACAGAUGACUAAUUUCAGAUAUAUACAGUCCUCUCAAUUUUCGGACCAAACAGAUGCCCACAGUGGAGGCUUGUCGAGGGUUGCAAUGGGGAGGAAGCCUCUCCCUCACUGUCAGCACCAGCUGGUAAAGGUGACUGUACAGGUGUGCAUUUUCCUUUUGGUAGAAAUGGUCCACAGCACUAACUGGUAAGGCUUAUGUACAGUAUAUUGUCAGUAUUCUUCUGGUUCAACAUACCUUAUAGUUCAUAUAUAACCUGUAUUAAUUGUAUAGAUUGUGCAUUUAAAGCUGUUACCAAGUUGUCAGAACUUAAGAGCGAAAACAAGGUCAUAUGUAAUAUUUUGUUUGUAAGUAUCCUUUGUAUCAUAGCAAAGGAAAUGUUUAAAAAAUCAACUGUAAUAAAGUAAUUUUAGUACA